rnacentral:rRNA from 1 species
CUGGAGGUAUCAGAAGUGCGAAUGCUGACAUAAGUAACGAUAAAGCGGGUGAAAAGCCCGCUCGCCGGAAGACCAAGGGUUCCUGUCCAACGUUAAUCGGGGCAGGGUGAGUCGACCCCUAAGGCGAGGCCGAAAGGCGUAGUCGAUGGGAAACAGGUUAAUAUUCCUGUACUUGGUGUUACUGCGAAGGGGGGACGGAGAAGGCUAUGUUGGCCGGGCGACGGUUGUCCCGGUUUAAGCGUGUAGGCUGGUUUUCCAGGCAAAUCCGGAAAAUCAAGGCUGAGGCGUGAUGACGAGGCACUACGGUGCUGAAGCAACAAAUGCCCUGCUUCCAGGAAAAGCCUCUAAGCAUCAGGUAACAUCAAAUCGUACCCCAAACCGACACAGGUGGUCAGGUAGAGAAUACCAAGGCGCUUGAGAGAACUCGGGUGAAGGAACUAGGCAAAAUGGUGCCGUAACUUCGGGAGAAGGCACGCUGAUAUGUAGGUGAAGCGACUUGCUCGUGGAGCUGAAAUCAGUCGAAGAUACCAGCUGGCUGCAACUGUUUAUUAAAAACACAGCACUGUGCAAACACGAAAGUGGACGUAUACGGUGUGACGCCUGCCCGGUGCCGGAAGGUUAAUUGAUGGGGUUAGCGCAAGCGAAGCUCUUGAUCGAAGCCCCGGUAAACGGCGGCCGUAACUAUAACGGUCCUAAGGUAGCGAAAUUCCUUGUCGGGUAAGUUCCGACCUGCACGAAUGGCGUAAUGAUGGCCAGGCUGUCUCCACCCGAGACUCAGUGAAAUUGAACUCGCUGUGAAGAUGCAGUGUACCCGCGGCAAGACGGAAAGACCCCGUGAACCUUUACUAUAGCUUGACACUGAACAUUGAGCCUUGAUGUGUAGGAUAGGUGGGAGGCUUUGAAGUGUGGACGCCAGUCUGCAUGGAGCCGACCUUGAAAUACCACCCUUUAAUGUUUGAUGUUCUAACGUUGGCCCCUGAUCGGGGUUGCGGACAGUGUCUGGUGGGUAGUUUGACUGGGGCGGUCUCCUCCUAAAGAGUAACGGAGGAGCACGAAGGUUGGCUAAUCCUGGUCGGACAUCAGGAGGUUAGUGCAAUGGCAUAAGCCAGCUUGACUGCGAGCGUGACGGCGCGAGCAGGUGCGAAAGCAGGUCAUAGUGAUCCGGUGGUUCUGAAUGGAAGGGCCAUCGCUCAACGGAUAAAAGGUACUCCGGGGAUAACAGGCUGAUACCGCCCAAGAGUUCAUAUCGACGGCGGUGUUUGGCACCUCGAUGUCGGCUCAUCACAUCCUGGGGCUGAAGUAGGUCCCAAGGGUAUGGCUGUUCGCCAUUUAAAGUGGUACGCGAGCUGGGUUUAGAACGUCGUGAGACAGUUCGGUCCCUAUCUGCCGUGGGCGCUGGAGAACUGAGGGGGGCUGCUCCUAGUACGAGAGGACCGGAGUGGACGCAUCACUGGUGUUCGGGUUGUCAUGCCAAUGGCACUGCCCGGUAGCUAAAUGCGGAAGAGAUAAGUGCUGAAAGCAUCUAAGCACGAAACUUGCC